GGGCACAGGUGAGCGUGUCUAGAGGAGGCAGGACUAACCUGCGCCAGGUGUGUGGGGGAGGGCAGGUGCAGGCGGACCAACGCGAACACUAGCUCUGCUCCUCCACCUACCUCCCUGCNNNNNNNNNNNNNNNNNNNNNNAUUCGUAUUAUCUAGGUGUCUUUUUUUUUUUUUUUAAUAAAUCUCUAUUGGUGACUUUCAUUUAUUUAUGAUAGUCACACAGAGAUUUAGAGAGAGAGGGAGAGGCGCCUGGGGGCCGAUUCCAUGCAGCUGCCGUCCAGCGCACCAUCCACGGCGGCGAGCUGCCCGGAGCCCCGUGGGACGGGUGUGGCGUCCUCACAGAAGCAGUCACCACAGCCCCGGGUGCAGCCAGGACCGUCACUCCCGGGGACACCAUCCUUGGGGCCCGUCGACACGCACCCGCUUCCUGAUGCGGGCGACGCCGCGUUCCCUGGACUGGCUCGCCGGUUCGCGGGGUCCCCUGGGACUUGGUCGCCCUGGAGCCCGUCGCCGUCCCCCUCUGACUUCGAAGCCGACUACGGGGACAUCCAGGAGGCGGUGCCACCCACAGGGAGACAGCCGGCCCACUCCCAGGCUCUGAAGUCUCUGAAGUCGAGAGCUCCCCUUCUGCCCUGGCAUCACGAGCACUGAGAGCUCCCAGAGGCACAGGGAAAAGCUGAGACUCCUUUGCAGGGCACUGUCCACCCCGAUCUUCUGGCUCAGCCUCCUCUGUACUCGGGGUCCCUUGCUCCAGAGCCCCAGGUAGCCCCAGGCCCCCAGAGGCGCCGUCCAUGGCCCCCACCUUGGUCCACGGGUGUUGGCGGCCGGAGCCCCGAGGUGUCCCCGAGGAGCCCGGCCUCCUUCCCGCCGGUGCUUUCCUCCUGCUGGGCCGUCCCGCCUCCGUCUCCGCCAGCUCUGCUCCUGUGAGAGCCCCGUGUCCUUGCCGCUGCUGAAGCUCUCGGUGCUUGCCAGCUCUCCCCCCGUGGCCCUGCUCCUGCCCUCGGGCGCGCUUCCACGGCCAGCGUGGACCCUCGAUCCAGAUGAUCACGGUGCCUGGACUCUGGCUCGAGGGACAGAUAGUGCUUGGUGGAGGACGUAUCCAUCACUGGACAGGAUGGCUGGAAGCUCAGGGGGUGACAUGUCCCUCUGUGUCAGGACAGCCAGAUGGUCAUGGCGGAUUUGUCCAUCUGUCCAGCCUGGCGUCGUCGGCGCCCUCCUCCCCUGCCUCCACGGUGUCAUUAGGCCUGUCCCGGCUCCACCCCGUGUCCACGCAGGUGUGUGAGGGCUCACCCGGGUUCACAGCAGGUGCCCCGUAAAUAAGGCUGAAUGAAGGGAAAGCACAGUGUUGAUGGAAUCGCCUUCCUGCCUGUGAGUCGGUUCCGAGCCCCGCGCGGGUCGUGUUCUCACGGCAUCUCCUCCCGGCGACUGUGAGUCUGCA
rnacentral:lncRNA from 12 species